UGGCUCAGAUGGUAAAGUGUCUGCCUAUAAUGCAGGUAGACCCAGGUUCAAUACCUGG
rnacentral:tRNA from 1 species